rnacentral:rRNA from 1 species
CCUACGGGGGGCAGCAGUGAGGAAUAUUGGUCAAUGGACGAGAGUCUGAACCAGCCAAGUAGCGUGAAGGAAGACUGCCCUAUGGGUUGUAAACUUCUUUUAUAUGGGGAUAAACCCGGGUAUGCAUAACCGCUUGUAUGUACCAUAUGAAUAAGGAUCGGCUAACUCCGUGCCAGCAGCCGCGGUAAUACGGAGGAUCCGAGCGUUAUCCGGAUUUAUUGGGUUUAAAGGGAGCGUAGGUGGAUUGUUAAGUCAGUUGUGAAAUUUUGCGGCUCAACCGUAAAAUUGCAGGUGACACUGGCGAGCUUGAGUACAGGAGAGGUAGGCGGAAUUCGUGGUGUAGCGGUGAAAUGCUUAGAUAUCACGAAGAACCCCGAUUGCGAAGGCAGCUCACUGAACUGCAACUGACACUGAUGCUCGAAAGUGUGGGUAUCAAACAGGAUUAGAUACCCGAGUAGUC